rnacentral:rRNA from 1 species
UACGGAGGGUGCAAGCGUUAUCCGGAUUCACUGGGUUUAAAGGGUGCGUAGGCGGAUUGGUAAGUCCGUGGUGAAAUCCCUCGGCUUAACCGGGGAACUGCGUCUGAUACUGGAUGGCUUGAGUUUGGGAGAGGGACGCGGAAUUCCAGGUGUAGCGGUGAAAUGCGUAGAUAUCUGGAGGAACACCGGUGGCGAAGGCGGCGUCCUGGACCAACACUGACACUGAUGAGCGAAAGCCAGGGGAGCAAACGGG